AGCCCAAAGUGGGUGGUAAACUCCAUCUAAGGCUAAAUACGACCACGAGACCGAUAGCGAACAAGUACCGUGAGGGAAAGUUGAAAAGUACUUUGAAGAGAGAGUUCAAGAGUACGUGAAACCGUUCAGGGGUAAGCCUGAGAAGCCCGAAAGGUCGAAAGGGGAGAUUCAACGUCGGAAUCGGACUGUCGGCGUGUGAUCGGUACGUGACGUAUAUAACGCACUACCUUUUGCCGUCCGUCACCGACCGCGUGCACUUCUCCCCCUGUAGGACGUCGCGACUCGUUGGGUUAUAUUUAUUUAAGAGUCCGUCUAAGGCCCGCUGCGGAGCCCGGGAACGUCGCUUCGGCGACGAUUUCCCGGACCAGCGGAUUAGCCCGACGGACGCCCGACGGUCAAAUUGUGGCGUGAGGCCGCGUAUAACGCGUCCGAACUAUACGUUUCUUCGGAAUCGUUUAGUAUCUCGGACAGGUCAACAGACCGCUAACGCCCGUCUGCGACGCUAUAGCUUUGGGUAGGCUCAG
rnacentral:rRNA from 1 species